GAGUUGCCCAGUGGGACAACGGAUAACGCGCCUGACUACGGUUCAGGAGAUUCCAGGUUCAAAUCCUGGCUGGCUCG